CUUGGUCAUUUAGAGGAAGUAAAGGUCGUAACAAGGUUUCCGUAGGUGAACCUGCGGAAGGAUCAUUCACAAACGAGUGUUUUAUGGCACUCUUUAAAAAUCCAUAUCCACCUUGUGUGCAAUGUUUGUUGGGAAAGUCUUUUCUUUCCCUUCAUAAAUAUCAACCUAUAUCUUUAACAACAUUCGUCUGAUAACAUAUUAUGAAUAUACUUAAUUCAAAAUAUAACUUUCAACAACGGAUCUCUUGGCUCUCGCAUCGAUGAAGAACGCAGCGAAAUGCGAUACGUAAUGUGAAUUGCAGAAUUCAGUGAAUCAUCGAAUCUUUGAACGCAUAUUGCGCUCUUUGGUAUUCCGAAGAGCAUGCUUGUUUGAGUAUCAGUAAACACCUCAACCUCUCUUUUUUGAUAAAAAAAAGGGAGGGUGGACUUGAGCUAUCCCAACGACCUUCACCGGUAGGCGGGCGGCUUGAAAUGCAGGUGCAGCUGGACUUUUAUCUGAGCUAAAAGCAUAUCUAUUUAGUCCUCGUCAAACAGGAUUAUUACUUUUGCUGCAGCUAACAUAAAGGAUAAUUGUCCUCUUUGCUGACUGAUGCAGGAUUUUACGACACUUUAUGUGUUGUUCAACUCGAUCUCAAAUCAAGUAAGACUACCCGCUGAACUUAAGCAUAUCAAUAAGCGGAGGAAAAGAAACUAACAAGGAUUCCCCUAGUAACGGCGAGUGAAGCGGGAUGAGCUCAAAUUUGAAAUCUGGCUGGUUUACUAGUCCGAGUUGUAAUUUAAAGAAGCGUUUUCGGUGGCAGCCUGGGUAUAAAUCCUUUGGAAUAGGGUAUCAUAGAGGGUGAGAAUCCCGUCUUUGACCUAGUGCAUGCUACUAUGUGAUACGUUUUCAAAGAGUCGAGUUGUUUGGGAAU
rnacentral:sRNA from 1 species